rnacentral:rRNA from 1 species
CACGUAGGGCGCAAGCGUUGUCCGGAAUUAUUGGGCGUAAAGAGCUCGUAGGUGGUUUGCUGCGUCCGCUGUGAAAACCCAAGGCUUAACCUUGGGCUUGCAGUGGAUACGGGCAGACUAGAGGUAGGUAGGGGAGAAUGGAAUUCCCGGUGUAGCGGUGAAAUGCGCAGAUAUCGGGAGGAACACCGGUGGCGAAGGCGGUUCUCUGGGCCUGUUCUGACGCUGAGGAGCGAAAGCGUGGGGAGCGAACAGG